GAGUAUUGUAGAGGAAGGUAGAAUUCCACGUGUAGCGGUGAAAUGCGUAGAGAUGUGGAGGAAUACCGGUGGCGAAGGCGGCCUUCUGGACAGAUACUGACGCUGAGAUGCGAAAGCGUGGGGAGCAAACAGGAUUAGAUACCCUGGUAGUCCACGCUGUAAACGAUGUCGAUUUGGAGUUUGUUGCCCUGAGUGAUGGGCUCCGAAGCUAACGCGAUAAAUCGACCGCCUGGGGAGUACGGCCGCAAGGUUAAAACUCAAAUGAAUUGACGGGGGCCCGCACAAGCGGUGGAGCAUGUGGUUUAAUUCGAUGCAACGCGAAGAACCUUACCUGGUCUUGACAUCCACAGAAUCUUGCAGAGAUGCGAGAGUGCCUUCGGGAACUGUGAGACAGGUGCUGCAUGGCUGUCGUCAGCUCGUGUUGUGAAAUGUUGGGUUAAGUCCCGCAACGAGCGCAACCCUUAUCCUUUGUUGCCAGCGGUUUGGCCGGGAACUCAAAGGAGACUGCCGUUGAUAAAGCGGAGGAAGGUGGGGACGACGUCAAGUCAUCAUGGCCCUUACGACCAGGGCUACACACGUGCUACAAUGGCGUAUACAAAGGGAGGCGACCUCGCGAGAGCAAGCGGACCUCAUAAAGUACGUCUAAGUCCGGAUUGGAGUCUGCAACUCGACUCCAUGAAGUCGGAAUCGCUAGUAAUCGUGAAUCAGAAUGUCACGGUGAAUACGUUCCCGGGCCUUGUACACACCGCCCGUCACACCAUGGGAGUGGGUUGCACCAGAAGUAGAUAGCUUAACCUUCGGGAGGGCGUUUACCACGGUGUGGUCCAUGACUGGGGUGAAGUCGUAACAAGGUAACCGUAGGGGAACCUGCGGUUGGAUCACCUCCUUAC
rnacentral:rRNA from 1 species